rnacentral:misc_RNA from 1 species
UUUCCGUAGGUGAACCUGCGGAAGGAUCAUUACCGUACAAAAUAUCACGGGCAUGCUAGGGCUGUCGCUGACCCAUAACUCGUGCACGCCCGCUUGUGUCCUCUUGCCUAAUGAUCCAUCUCACCCUUUGUGCAUCACCGCGUGGGCACCUUUCGGGUCCAUCUCGUAGGGGGGCUCACUAUUGAACACAAACCCCCCGUUUAAAAGUGUAGAAUGACCAAACUUAUGCAAACAAUACAACUUUCAACUACGGAUAUCUAGGCUCGCGCCUCGAUGAAA